GGUUGAUCCUGCCAGUUGUGAUAUGCUUGUCUCAAAGACUAAGCCAUGCAUGUCUAAGAAUAGGGUUUUUCUCUACUCUGAAUCUGCGAACGGCUCAUUAAAUCAGUAAUUAUCUAUUUGAUUAUUUUAUUUUUACUUGGAUACCCUCAGUAAAGCCGAGAUCAAUACAUGCAUCAACCUUAGGGUUUGGUCGCGCCGUUCCGGUGCGGCCGUAUUUAUUGGAUUUCCUAGACCAGCCCGGGGGGGUACUAUCGGUACUCCCCCGGUCCCAUGGU
rnacentral:rRNA from 1 species